CUCAGAUCAGAAGGUGAUUGUGGCUUUGAGUGGAUAUUAAUCAGCCACAGCACUGCCUGGUCAGAAAGAG
rnacentral:pre_miRNA from 1 species